UAGGGUGUAGCGAAAAAGGUUAUCGUGUUUGCUUUGGGUGCAAAAGAUUGUAGGUUCAAAUCCUACUACCCUAA
rnacentral:tRNA from 1 species